rnacentral:rRNA from 1 species
UACGGAAUGUGCAAACGUUAUUCGGAAUCACUGGGCUUAAAGAGUCCGUAGGCGGCAUGUUAGGUGAGGUGUGAAAUCCCCCGGCUCAACCGAGGAAUUGCGCUUCAAACCGGCGUGCUAGAGGAAGAUAGAGGUGGGCGGAACUGAUGGUGGAGCGGUGAAAUGCGUUGAUAUCAUCAGGAACACCGGAGGCGAAGGCGGCCCACUGGGUCUUUUCUGACGCUGAGGGACGAAAGCUAGGGGAGCGAACAGG